UACAGAGGUCCCAAGCGUUGUUCGGAUUCACUGGGCGUAAAGGGUGCGUAGGUGGUGAGGUAAGUCGGAUGUGAAAGCUCGGAGCUCAACUCCGAAAUGGCAUUGGAAACUACCUUGCUCGAGGGUUGGAGGGGGGACUGGAAUACUUGGUGUAGCAGUGAAAUGCGUAGAUAUCAAGUGGAACACCAGUGGCGAAAGGCGAGUCCCUGGACAACUCCUGACACUGAGGCACGAAAGCUAGGGGGAGCAAACAGG
rnacentral:rRNA from 1 species